UCCUGGCUCAGGAUGAACGCUAGCUACAGGCUUAACACAUGCAAGUCGAGGGGAAACGAUAUUGGAAGCUUGCUUCCGAUAGGCGUCGACCGGCGCACGGGUGAGUAACGCGUAUCCAACCUGCCCAUCACUUGGGGAUAACCUUGCGAAAGUAAGACUAAUACCCAAUGACGUCUCUAGAAGACAUCUGAAGGAGAUUAAAGAUUUAUCGGUGAUGGAUGGGGAUGCGUCUGAUUAGCUUGUUGGCGGGGUAACGGCCCACCAAGGCGACGAUCAGUAGGGGUUCUGAGAGGAAGGUCCCCCACAUUGGAACUGAGACACGGUCCAAACUCCUACGGGAGGCAGCAGUGAGGAAUAUUGGUCAAUGGGCGAGAGCCUGAACCAGCCAAGUAGCGUGCAGGAUGACGGCCCUAUGGGUUGUAAACUGCUUUUAUAAGGGAAUAAAGUGAGCUACGUGUAGCUUUUUGCAUGUACCUUAUGAAUAAGGACCGGCUAAUUCCGUGCCAGCAGCCGCGGUAAUACGGAAGGUCCGGGCGUUAUCCGGAUUUAUUGGGUUUAAAGGGAGCGUAGGCCGGAGAUUAAGCGUGUUGUGAAAUGUAGACGCUCAACGUCUGCACUGCAGCGCGAACUGGUUUCCUUGAGUACGCACAAAGUGGGCGGAAUUCGUGGUGUAGCGGUGAAAUGCUUAGAUAUCACGAAGAACUCCGAUUGCGAAGGCAGCUCACUGGAGCGCAACUGACGCUGAAGCUCGAAAGUGCGGGUAUCGAACAGGAUUAGAUACCCUGGUAGUCCGCACGGUAAACGAUGGAUGCCCGCUGUUGGUCUAAAUAGGUCAGCGGCCAAGCGAAAGCAUUAAGCAUCCCACCUGGGGAGUACGCCGGCAACGGUGAAACUCAAAGGAAUUGACGGAAGGGCGA
rnacentral:rRNA from 1 species